rnacentral:misc_RNA from 1 species
CUGAGCGCGAGGCCCCGCAGCGCGCACGCGCUGCGGCGGUUGACCCUCCACCCGUGUGAACUCUUAUCUGUUGCUUUGGCGGGCCGGGCUCGACCUGCCGGCUCCGGCUGGCGAGUGCCCGUCAGAGAAGCCCCAACUCGUGCUGUGAGUGUUGUCUGAGGAAAUGUGGAAUUAGUA